rnacentral:rRNA from 1 species
AUUGAACGCUGGCGGCAGGCCUAACACAUGCAAGUCGAACGGUAACAGGAAGCAGCUUGCUGCUUCGCUGACGAGUGGCGGACGGGUGAGUAAUGUCUGGGAAACUGCCUGAUGGAGGGGGAUAACUACUGGAAACGGUAGCUAAUACCGCAUAACGUCGCAAGACCAAAGAGGGGGACCUUCGGGCCUCUUGCCAUCGGAUGUGCCCAGAUGGGAUUAGCUAGUAGGUGGGGUAACGGCUCACCUAGGCGACGAUCCCUAGCUGGUCUGAGAGGAUGACCAGCCACACUGGAACUGAGACACGGUCCAGACUCCUACGGGAGGCAGCAGUGGGGAAUAUUGCACAAUGGGCGCAAGCCUGAUGCAGCCAUGCCGCGUGUAUGAAGAAGGCCUUCGGGUUGUAAAGUACUUUCAGCGGGGAGGAAGGGAGUAAAGUUAAUACCUUUGCUCAUUGACGUUACCCGCAGAAGAAGCACCGGCUAACUCCGUGCCAGCAGCCGCGGUAAUACGGAGGGUGCAAGCGUUAAUCGGAAUUACUGGGCGUAAAGCGCACGCAGGCGGUUUGUUAAGUCAGAUGUGAAAUCCCCGGGCUCAACCUGGGAACUGCAUCUGAUACUGGCAAGCUUGAGUCUCGUAGAGGGGGGUAGAAUUCCAGGUGUAGCGGUGAAAUGCGUAGAGAUCUG